rnacentral:rRNA from 1 species
UACGAAGGGGGCUAGCGUUGCUCGGAAUUACUGGGCGUAAAGCGCACGUAGGCGGUCUUUUUAAGUCGGGGGUGAAAUCCUGGAGCUCAACUCCAGAACUGCCUCGAUACUGGAAGACUCGAGUCCGGGAGAGGUGAGGUGGAACUGCGAAGUGUAGAGGUGGAAAUUCGAUAGAUAUUCGCAAGAACACCAGUGGCGAAGGCGGACUCGACUGGC